rnacentral:rRNA from 1 species
AUUGAACGCUGGCGGAAUGCUUUACACAUGCAAGUCGAACGAUGAACCUUAGCUUGCUAAGGGGAUUAGUGGCGAACGGGUGAGUAAUGUAUCGGAACGUAUACAAUAAUGGGGGAUAACUAGUCGAAAGAUUAGCUAAUACCGAAUACGUCCUACGGGAGAAAGCUAGGGACCUUCGGGCCUGGCGUUAAUGGAGUGGCAGAUAUCUGAGUAGCUAGUUGGUGGGGUAAAGGCUCACCCAGGCGACGAUCAGUAGCUGGUCGGAGAGGACGACCAGCCACACUGGAACUGAGACACGGUCCAUACUCCUACGGGAGGCAUCAGUGGGGAAUUUUGGACAAUGGGCGAAAGCCUGAUCCAGCCAUUCCGCGUGAGUGAAGAAGGCCUUCGGGUUGUAAAGCUCUUUCGCAAGGGAAGAAAACUUAAGCUCUAACAUAGCUUGAGGUUGACGGUACCUUGAUAAGAAGCACCGGCUAACUACGUGCCAGCAGCCGCGGUAA